CCUGCAGACAGAAGAGGGGACAGUGACAGAUGUCAACCCUCACCUCUCCUCCUGCUGUGAAUUACUGGAGCUCAUCCUCAGGAAGGGCCUUCAACAGCCAGUCCUUGGUCUAGUACACAGGGACUACUGGCAAUGUUUCGAGCAACUCCUCCAACACGACAACUGCGGCAGACUGAGUACUGUGUCGCUUGCGGUUGAACAGACCUUAGCCUGCAGGAAACUGUUGUCAGCUCAGGGACGAGGACGCUACCUCCUUAGGCUAGCCCUCAGACGGAGGGUUCUAGAAGGAGUCAUCAAACACCUGUUACACACACCCAAAG